GUAACACGUAGUCAACCUGCCCUGGAGACAUGGAAAACCCCGGGAAACUGGGAUUAAUCCGUGAUAGGUCACCUCAUCUGGAAGGAGAGAUGGCUUAAAGGGGUGCGAGAGCUUCUUUCUUGCAUUCGCUCCAGGAUGGGACUGCGGCCGAUCAGGCUGUUGGCGGUGUAAUGGACCACCAAACCUGUAACCGGUACGGGCCUUGAGAGAGGGGGCCCGGAGAUGGACACUGAGAGAAGGGUCCAGGUCCUACGGGGCGCAGCAGGCGCGAAACCUUCGCAAUGCGCGAAAGCGUGACGAGGUUAAUCCGAGUGGUCCCCGCUGAGGGGAUCUUUUGUUGGCUGUAAAAAGGCCGAUGAAUAAGGGGAGGGCAAGUCUGGUGUCACCCGCCGCGGUAAUACCAGCUCCUCGAGUGGUCGGGGCGAUUAUUGGGCCUAAAGCAUCCCUAGCCGGUUCUGUUAGUCCUCUGUCCAAUCCAACGGCUUAACCGUUGGCCCCCAGAAGAAUACCGCAGGAACU
rnacentral:rRNA from 1 species